AGCAACAAAUGCCCUGCUUCCAGGAAAAGCCUCUAAGCAUCAGGUAACACGAAAUCGUACCCCAAACCGACACAGGUGGUCAGGUAGAGAAUACCAAGGCGCUUGAGAGAACUCGGGUGAAGGAACUAGGCAAAAUGGUGCCGUAACUUCGGGAGAAGGCACGCUGACACGUAGGUGAAGUGAUUUACUCAUGGAGCUGAAGUCAGUCGAAGAUACCAGCUGGCUGCAACUGUUUAUUAAAAACACAGCACUGUGCAAACACGAAAGUGGACGUAUACGGUGUGACGCCUGCCCGGUGCCGGAA
rnacentral:rRNA from 1 species